rnacentral:rRNA from 1 species
AUUGAACGCUGGCGGCAGGCCUAACACAUGCAAGUCGAACGGCAGCGGGGGAUAGCUUGCUAUCCUGCCGGCGAGUGGCGGACGGGUGAGUAAUGCCUGGGGAGCUGCCCAAUCGAGGGGGAUACCAACUGGAAACGGUUGCUAAUACCGCAUACGCCCUGCGGGGAAAGGUGGGGACCUUCGGGCCUACCGCGAUUGGAUGCACCCAGGUGGGAUUAGCUGGUUGGUGAGGUAACGGCUCACCAAGGCGACGAUCUCUAGCUGGUCUGAGAGGAUGACCAGCCACACUGGAACUGAGACACGGUCCAGACUCCUACGGGAGGCAGCAGUGGGGAAUAUUGCACAAUGGGGGAAACCCUGAUGCAGCCAUGCCGCGUUGU